UCGGGAAUUUUGGGCAAUGGGCGAAAGCCUGACCCAGCAACGCCGCGUGAAGGAUGAAGUAUUUCGGUAUGUAAACUUCGUAAGAAUAGGAAGAAUAAAUGACGGUACUAUUUGUAAGGUCCGGCUAACUACGUGCCAGCAGCCGCGGUAAUACGUAGGGACCAAGCGUUGUUCGGAUUUACUGGGCGUAAAGGGCGCGUAGGCGGCGUGGUAAGUCAUCUGUGAAAUCUCCGAGCUUAACUCGGAACGGUCAGAUGAUACUGCUGUGCUAGAGUACAGAAGGGGCAAUCGGAAUUCUUGGUGUAGCGGUGAAAUGCGUAGAUAUCAAGAGGAACACCUGAGGUGAAGACGGGUUGCUGGGCUGAUACUGACGCUGAGGCGCGAAAGCUAGGGUAGCAAACGGGAUUAGAUACCCUCGUAGUCCCUGAGCGGGCUGGCAAGGCGCAU
rnacentral:rRNA from 1 species